UAUGGCUCUCUCGGCCAAAAAGGUUCCCGACCCCUGCCCUAGGGUAAGAACAGAGUUUAACCAACCCGGAACCAAAGAAAAAAAAGGAAGCAAAUGGACAAUGCAAGUGACCCUGGUAAGUUACUGCAUUUCUUUUGUUUAUUUUUUUUAUAUAAUUGGAACAGGUUAGGACACUCCGAAAAGUAAAUUGUUUUUCAUAAUAAGCAUCCAUGGUAAUUCAGUCCACUAGAAGGUUCUCUGUAGCAUUACAUAAGUUUAUUUCUCCAUGAAAAUGUUCUGCUGUGUCGACCCGUGACGUUCACGAACGAACCGAAUCCUUUGAACUACUUUUUCCCCUUCCUUCCCUAAGUUUCAUGAAUACUUCCGUACUUCCGUGAAAAUGGAAAAGGAGUCCUGGCGCAUGCAGGCAACAGCUGCGAGGGUGGGGGGCUAGUUUUUCUGCCCUUGUAGUCAUGAGUCAGAGUUGACUGCUUUUUAAAGAAAGAUUAUUUUGCAUGGAGCUUAAAAUUCGCCCGAUUUGUUUAUUAUUAUGUUUAUAUAUAGGGUUUUUUAGUUACAUAAAGUCAUUUAAGUUGACUUUUUAGAAAUAUGGUGAUCCUAAAAUAGUAAAACAAACUCGUUUUUAACCACUCCUGACAUUACACUAAAUUAAGAGGCCUUAUAAGUUUUAUUUUUCUGCCAAGUAAAAAAUGUUCAUAAAUGGCUUUCUACAAUCAGUAGUAUGCAUUUUUAAUAAUACAUGGUAUUUUUCUUUCACAGGUCAACCAACUACACAGCUUCCAUUCAAAAAACAGCAGCAAGAGAUACAGCUGCAGAAGCAAAAACUGCUGAGUCAACAAGAAGUUAUUAAAGAGCUUUCAACAGAAAGAGACUUACUAAAAGAACAGCUAACACAACUGCCUCUUCAGCCAUCAUCAAGUGGCGUUGCACUGCUUGGGAAACGGCACAAAACAUCUAAAAUGCCCGUGAUCCAGAUGACACGAGGAGAGGUACACCAAAGUUUUAAAGGCCUUUAAAGGACUCACCUUGUCUGGAGCCUCCUAAAAAGUGGGCGUGGACCGAAACACAGCAACACUCCAGUUGCAGAACUUCCCAUCACAGACCAAGAAAAAUACUCUGAGCAAAAAAACUGUCGCUUGCCUGUUGACAAGCUGAAUGAUUUCAUCAGAUCUGGCAUUGAAGAAAUAAAAGCAAAUUCAGAAAUUGGAGGAAAAAAA